ACCUGGCUAGCUCAGUUGGAAGAGCAUGAGACUCUCAAUCUCAGGGUUGUGAGUUCAAGCCCCACACUGGGUG